UUCGCAAUGCCCGAAAGGGUGAACGAGCGACGCCGCGUGCGGGAUGAAGGGUUUCGGCUUGUAAACCGCUUUUCUUUGGGAAGAAGGUCUGUCUCGUGCAGAUGGGCUCGACGGUACCAGAGGAAUAAGCCUCGGCUAACUCCGUGCCAGCAGCCGCGGUAAGACGGGGGAGGCGAGCGUUGUUCGGAUUUACUGGGCGUAAAGGGUGUGUAGGCGGCCGCGCAAGUCUGGUGUGAAAACUUCACCGCUCAACGGGAAGCGGGCACUGGAAACUGCGCGGCUCGAGUAUGGUAGAGGCAAGCGGAAUUCCUGGUGUAGCGGUGGAAUGUGUAGAUAUCAGGAAGAACACCGGUGGCGAAGGCGGCUUGCUGGGCCAUUACUGACGCUGAGACACGAAAGCGUGGGGAGCAAACGGGAUUAGAUACCCCGGUAGUCCACGCUGUAAGCGAUGGGCACUAAGUAGAGGGGUUUU
rnacentral:rRNA from 1 species